AUUGAACGCUGGCGGCAUGCCUUACACAUGCAAGUCGAACGGUAACAGGUCUUCGGAUGCUGACGAGUGGCGAACGGGUGAGUAAUACAUCGGAACGUGCCUAGUAGUGGGGGAUAACUACUCGAAAGGGUGGCUAAUACCGCAUGAGAUCUACGGAUGAAAGCAGGGGAUCGCAAGACCUUGUGCUACUAGAGCGGCCGAUGGCAGAUUAGGUAGUUGGUGGGAUAAAAGCUUACCAAGCCGACGAUCUGUAGCUGGUCUGAGAGGACGAUCAGCCGCACUGGGACUGAGACACGGCCCAGACUCCUACGGGAGGCAGCAGUGGGGAAUUUUGGACAAUGGGCGCAAGCCUGAUCCAGCAAUGCCGCGUGCAGGAUGAAGGCCUUCGGGUUGUAAACUGCUUUUGUACGGAACGAAAAGCCCCGGGUUAAUACCCUGGGGUCAUGACGGUACCGUAAGAAUAAGCACCGGCUAACUACGUGCCAGCCGCCGCAGUAA
rnacentral:rRNA from 1 species